rnacentral:tRNA from 1 species
UGGCUCAGUGGUAAAGCGCUUGCCUUGCAUGCAUGAGGCCUUGGGUUCGAUUCCUCA